rnacentral:rRNA from 1 species
UACAGAGGGUGCGAGCGUUAAUCGGAUUUACUGGGCGUAAAGAGCGCGCAGGCGGUCGUUCAAGUCGCGUGUGAAAGCCCCCGGCUCAACUGGGGAGGGUCACGCGAUACUGAUCGACUCGAAGGCAGGAGAGGGUAGUGGAAUUCCCGGUGUAGUGGUGAAAUGCGUAGAUAUCGAGAGGAACACCUGCGGCGAAGGCGGGUUGCUGGGCUGACACUGACGCUGAACUGCGAAAGCUAGGGGAGCGAACGGG